rnacentral:rRNA from 1 species
UGGGGAAUAUUGGACAAUGGGGGGAACCCUGAUCCAGCCAUGCCGCGUGUGUGAAGAAGGCCUUAUGGUUGUAAAGCACUUUAAGCGAGGAGGAGGGUACUGGUAUUAAUACUACCAGCUACUGGACGUUACUCGCAGAAUAAGCACCGGCUAACUCUGUGCCAGCAGCCGCGGUAAUACAGAGGGUGCGAGCGUUAAUCGGAUUUACUGGGCGUAAAGCGUGCGUAGGCGGCUAAUUGAGUCGGAUGUGAAAUCCCCGAGCUUAACUUGGGGAUUGCAUUCGAUACUGGUUAGCUAGAGUGUGGGAGAGGAUGGUAGAAUUCCAGGUGUAGCGGUGAAAUGCGUAGAGAUCUGGAGGAAUACCGAUGGCGAAGGCAGACAUCUGGCCUAACACUGACGCUGAGGUACGAAAGCAUGGGGAGCAAACAGG